UGGUUGGAAAUCAUUCGUAGAGUGCAAAGGCAUAAGGGAGCUUGACUGCGAGACCUACAAGUCGAGCAGGGACGAAAGUCGGGCUUAGUGAUCCGGUGGUUCCGCAUGGAAGGGCCAUCGCUCAACGGAUAAAAGCUACCCCGGGGAUAACAGGCUUAUCUCCCCCAAGAGUCCACAUCGACGGGGAGGUUUGGCACCUCGAUGUCGGCUCAUCGCAUCCUGGGGCUGUAGUCGGUCCCAAGGGUUGGGCUGUUCGCCCAUUAAAGCGGUACGCGAGCUGGGUUCAGAACGUCGUGAGACAGUUCGGUCCCUAUCCGUCGUGGGCGUAGGAAAUUUGAGAGGAGCUGUCCUUAGUACGAGAGGACCGGGAUGGACGCACCGCUGGUGUACCAGUUGUUCUGCCAAGGGCAUAGCUGGGUAGCUAUGUGCGGAAGGGAUAAGUGCUGAAAGCAUCUAAGCAUGAAGCCCCCCUCAAGAUGAGAUUUCCCAUAGCGUAAGCUAGUAAGAUCCCUGAAAGAUGAUCAGGUUGAUAGGUUCGAGGUGGAAGCAUGGUGACAUGUGGAGCUGACGAAUACUAAUAGAUCGAGGACUUAACCAUAUAA
rnacentral:rRNA from 1 species